AGGUAGCAGUUCACCAUGAUGAAGGCCUGUAGGUAGGUAGCAGUUCACCAUGAUGAAGGCCUGUAGGUAGGUAGCAGUUCACCAUGAUGAAGGCCUGUAGGUAGGUAGCAGUUCACCAUGAUG